GCGGGUGUGGUGAAGCGGUAUCAUAGCUGCCUUCCAAGCAGCUGGCACGGGUUCGACUCCCGUCACCCGCU
rnacentral:tRNA from 1 species